ACAUAAAUAAAUAUAUUUUUAUAAUAUAUAUUUUUAUUGCAUACAAAUAAAAAUAUAAAACAGAAAAUGAUAACAAUUCCAAACAGAAACCAAAAAAUACUAGGGCACUAGAUAGCGUGGGUGAGGAUUAAUCUGACUGCCUCGUGAGCACUCAAACACGAACUUCCAUUUUCAGCAUAAACACAAUUUGUUCGAGUUGGCAAUGCCUCGGAAUCAAGACAUCGCGAAAAACGAAGUUGGAAAGGGAGACAGAAAACAGUCCCAGUAUCGGAAACGGCCAUGUCGAAGCCACCGAAGACGGCAACCUUCGAUUUGUUGGCAUUGACGGCGGUGUGACCGCUGCGAAUUGAAUUGAAAAAACAGUUGAUGAAAACAAUACAAGAAAUUCAUCCAACACCGAAAGAGAGAGGAAGUUGUUUUCGAAGCUUGAACCGAGUAAUGCAUCUCUCUUUCCUUCUCUGUCUCUUCUCCUUGAGGUCCUCGGCUGAAUUUCCAAAGCUGAACGGAGCAGAGGAAGCAGAGGAGAUCGAGGACAAACGUUCUGUGCCUCCCCAGUUCAAAGACAAGUGGCCGGACAGAAAAUAACGGCCACGUUUCAUUCCCGUUGCCUGCUGCACCGAAUACAUCAAAACGCAGCGUCUUAGGCCAAAAAACACAAUUAUUAAACUCGUCUGCCGUGCAUGAUCUGCAUCCAUCUCAAACCUAUUUUUGUCCCCGAAAACUCAAAAUUGUUCGAAUCAUAUCCUCCCCAAAAUCUAAAAAGUUGCCAUUGCUAUGAAUUAUUUUUCCUAGUUGCUGGUCAUUGUGAAUCUGCGAUCAUUUUUUUUUUCCAAUCUCAAACACGCAUUUUAAGAUUUUUUUUUAUUUUUUUAUAAUUCAUUAUGUUAUGAUAUAAUAUUUCAAAACCAUACUGCAAUCAUGUUCUGCAAUUUCACUGCAAUGAUAUCCUAAUUUGUUAUGAUCGCGUGCCCUAUUUAUUUUUUUUUCAACAACUUUUAUUGAUUUAUCGUGUGCGUGUAUUUAUUUAUUUAUUUAAGUUUAUUUUAUUCAUUUUUGGGCAACCUGGAACUCCGGAUGUCGGGCGAAUCAUUUCGAGUCUCCGGACGGCAGCAAACUGGGAAGAAGUGAUCUAGCUCAAGACAUGCAAUUACUAUGAAUGAAUGCAAAAAUGGUUGAAGAAGAGAAGGGCUAGAACUGUUAAUUUUUCUUCAUUAAAAUUUGUGAUAUCGAAUAUUUAUGAUAUGUCCUACUAUAGUAUAUCAUGCUAAUUCAUGAAUGGUGAUUUAUGUAAUGACAAACUCCUAUAGCUUGAUGGACAAUGUCACUUAGGCUGGAAAUAUAUGUUGCUAGGGCAAUAUUAUUUCUUUUCUAUAUACUGUGAACAAUAUUUUUUU